rnacentral:rRNA from 1 species
UACGAAGGGGGCUAGCGUUGUUCGGAGUUACUGGGCGUAAAGCGCGCGCAGGCGGCUAUCCAAGUCAGUGGUGAAAGCCCGGAGCUCAACUCCGGAACUGCCAUUGAAACUGUUUAGCUUGAGGACGAGAGAGGUGAGUGGAAUUCCCAGUGUAGAGGUGAAAUUCGUAGAUAUUGGGAAGAACACCGGUGGCGAAGGCGGCUCACUGGCUCGUAUCUGACGCUCAGGCGCGACAGCGUGGGGAUCAAACAGG